ACAGCCGCCGCGGUAAAACCAGCACCUCAAGUGGUCAGGAUGAUUAUUGGGCCUAAAGCAUCCGUAGCCGGCUCUGUAAGUUUUCGGUUAAAUCUAUACGCUCAACGUAUAGGCUGCCGGGAAUACUGCAGAGCUAGGGAGUGGGAGAGGUAGACGGUACUCGGUAGGAAGGGGUAAAAUCCUUUGAUCUAUUGAUGACCACCUGUGGCGAAGGCGGUCUACCAGAACACGUCCGACGGUGAGGGAUGAAAGCUGGGGGAGCAAACCGGAUUAGAUACCCGGGUAGUCCCAGCUGUAAACUAUGCAAACUCAGUGAUGCAUUGGCUUGUGGCCAAUGCAGUGGUGCAGGG
rnacentral:rRNA from 1 species